rnacentral:rRNA from 1 species
CCUACGGGUGGCAGCAGUGGGGAAUAUUGGACAAUGGGGGGAACCCUGAUCCAGCCAUGCCGCGUGUGUGAAGAAGGCCCUCGGGUUGUAAAGCACUUUCAGUGAGGAAGAACGCCUGGUGGUUAAUACCCAUCAGGAAAGACAUCACUCACAGAAGAAGCACCGGCUAACUCCGUGCCAGCAGCCGCGGUAAUACGGAGGGUGCGAGCGUUAAUCCGAAUUACUGGGCGUAAAGCGCGCGUAGGUGGCUUGAUAAGCCGGUUGUGAAAGCCCCGGGCUCAACCUGGGAACGGCAUCCGGAACUGUCAAGCUAGAGUGCAGGAGAGGAAGGUAGAAUUCCCGGUGUAGCGGUGAAAUGCGUAGAGAUCGGGAGGAAUACCAGUGGCGAAGGCGGCCUUCUGGACUGACACUGACACUGAGGUGCGAAAGCGUGGGUAGCAAACAGGAUUAGAUACCCCUGUAGUC